GACGAACGCUGGCGGCGUGCUUAACACAUGCAAGUCGAGCGAUGAAGUUCCUUCGGGAAUGGAUUAGCGGCGGACGGGUGAGUAACACGUGGGUAACCUGCCUCAUAGAGGGGAAUAGCCUUUCGAAAGGAAGAUUAAUACCGCAUAAGAUUGUAGUUUCGCAUGAAACAGCAAUUAAAGGAGUGAUCCGCUAUGAGAUGGACCCGCGUCGCAUUAGCUAGUUGGUGAGGUAACGGCUCACCAAGGCGACGAUGCGUAGCCGACCUGAGAGGGUGAUCGGCCACAUUGGGACUGAGACACGGCCCAGACUCCUACGGGAGGCAGCAGUGGGGAAUAUUGCACAAUGGGGGAAACCCUGAUGCAGCAACGCCGCAUGAGUGAUGACGGUCUUCGGAUUGUAAAACUCUGUCUUCAGGGACGAUAAUGACGGUACCUGAGGAGGAAGCCACGGCUAACUACGUGCCAGCCGCCGCCGUAA
rnacentral:rRNA from 1 species